rnacentral:rRNA from 1 species
AUUGCACGCUAGCGGGAUGCCUAACACAUGCAAGUCGAACGAGUGGCGGACGGGUGAGUAAUAUAUCGGAACCUGCCCAGUGGCGGGGGAUAACUACGCGGAACAGUAGCUAAUACCGCAUACUAGUUGAGCGGCCGACAUCGGAUUAGCUCGUUGGUGGGGUAAAUGGUCACCAAGGCAACGAUCCGUAGCUGGUUUGAGAGGACGAACAGCCAAACUGGGACUGAGACACGGCCCCGACUCCUACGGGAGGCAGCAGUGGGGAAUUUUGCACAAUGGGGGAAACCCUGAUCCAGCCAUCCCGCGUGUAUGAGAAGGCCUUCGGAUUGUAAAGUACUUUUGGCAGGGAGGCGUUAUCCGCAGAAUAAGCACCGGCUAACUACGUGCCAGCAGCCGCGGUAAUUC